CAUUGUUAUGACAAUAUAUUACUUGUUUGAGACUCAUAUACUGUGUAAUGUUAGAUAUAUGUAAUUAUAUUGCACGACAAAUACCGCGUGAUAAUUUUCCACUUUUCCAGUUCGAAGAUCAAACACGAGUACUAAUUUUCUGCAAAGUACAUCACACAAAUAUCUGACUAUAUAUGUUAGGCUUGGAAAAUUAAAUUUCAAAUUAUUGGAUAGCUAUGUUUUAGAGAUUGGCAAUAUUCAUUAGUCAACGCGAUGAUUCGCAUCAAAAUGCGUUCUUAAUAAUAAAAAAGCAGAUGGAGAAUGAAAAAGUUCCGUAAGUGUUAAAUAAAUCUACGAAUCAUACGAUGAUGAUCCAUGAUCGUGGGCUGGACUCGGCGGCGUCGAUGGAUUUGAGCUGUUGUUCGAAGCUAUCGAAUGUCUAGGGCUGCCUCCAGAUGGAUGCUCCUGUAUAUAAAAAAUGCAUGUAUAUAUGAAAAGUAUCUAGCUGUAAUUUUAGACAGCGUUUCCGAGGUUUAUAUCCUAAUUUUAUAAAUGUAUUCUAUAGAUUUUUGUUCUUUGUAACUAAACUUUUUGCACUUCUUGUUUUUUCUCUCCAAAUUCUAAAUAUAUUUCUAUCUCAUUUUUAGCAUACACAAGUGCAAGAAAUUCAGUAUAAAGACUUUCAGUAUAAAACCUUAUAUUAAAUAUAAAUAGUAUAAA